rnacentral:rRNA from 1 species
UACGAAGGGGGCUAGCGUUGCUCGGAAUCACUGGGCGUAAAUCGCACGUAGGCGGAUUGCUAAGUCAGGGGUGAAAUCCUGGAGCUCAACUCCAGAACUGCCUUUGAUACUGGCAACCUUGAGUCCGGGAGAGGUGAGUGGAACUGCGAGUGUAGAGGUGAAAUUCGUAGAUAUUCGCAAGAACACCAGUGGCGAAGGCGGCUCACUGGCCCGGUACUGACGCUGAGGUGCGAAAGCCAGGGGAGCAAACGGG